AUUGGAAAUAUGAUCCAAACUGUUUUGUUGUUGAUAUGUCAUCAGGGGGUGUCACCUAAAAAAUUAUAUUUGCAACUUGCAAGUGCACUAAAAUGUUACAAGUUCAAACGAAAAAUCCUAGAAUUUGCCAGAACCACGGAGCAGAGUUCGACCAGAGUUUCAGAAAUGCAAAUCCCUGCUGGAUCCGGGAAACACCGUCCGCGGUCGCUUUCAGGAAUACGGUAUCCGGAAGGCCCUGGUGCAAUCCGCACUGAAGAGAUGUAACCCAGUGACAAUACGCUGGAGCCAGAGUGAAGACUUCGUCGGCAUCUGGAGUUUUAGAAUCGAUCAGCAAUAUUUCCGGAAAAAAACACCAGGUUGUUCCGGAUCGUGAAAGGAAUUUGCCUUCAGGAGAAUGAAUUUUACUUGGACAAAGUAAUUGCUUUGUGGUUAUUUUGUGAAAAAUUGGAUUUUGAGCAAUUAUGUGAAGAAAGUUUUAAUGUACAAUUGAUUGUUUAUUUGUGACGAGAGCAUGUUAAAUUACAACUUUUUAUCAGGUUAAGGUUAAUGCAUAAUAAAGAUUUUCAACAACA